AAGAGUUCCCAGAGCCCAUGCAGCUGGAGAUGUCCGCUAGGCAUGCAUGUGGUUAUUACCAGAGACAGUGGUGUGUGUGGGCAUCGAGCCCAGGAGAAAGGGCUGGACUGCAAGAGCCUGCUGAAACCAUCACAUGCACUUGGCAACCAGUGCAUUGAGAAGGGUUGUGAUGGCCUUAGAGAAGAACAGAAAAGUGCAAGUGAAUGCCGGUGAAGAGCCAAGGAAACAUGAGACCUAAUGAGAGACCAAAGAGAUACUUAUGCCUGAAAAGAGGAAAGGAGCCAUUGAGAAGAUCACAGAGCCACAGAAACUUAGGAAAGAGGGAACACUGAGGAGGGGUGGGGAAAACUGUCCAGUGCAGCUGAGAAACCAGAAAAAGGACAAUUAAGGUUGAAGUGCCACAUUCAUGAAAUCAAUGAUUUGGACAACUUUGGCCAAGUGUGGACAACUAUCACUAUUUUGUCAUGCUUUGCGUUUAGCAGAUGAAGAGGUUGUGACACUAAACCAUAACUUACCUGUGAUGAGCCAGGGCCUCAGCAUGCCUCCACUGAGACAGGAGACCUUGAGGAACACCAAAAAUGGUCAUAAUUUCUUGGUAGCUAUGAUAGAGCCAUAGCCAGAUGGUCUCUAAGCCCAUGGUAAACAUGCCCAAGAGGUACCCACCUUCAAGACACUUUUGAAAAUCUAGAUGUCUAAAUCAAAAGGGAAAGGUAUCCAGAAAAAAUUACCAAACAUAGAAAAAUUUGACCAAUGGAACUAAUAUUCUCUGCAGGGCAAAAAAUCACUACCUAAACAUCUAUAUCUAUUUACAUCUCAGGAAAGUUGUAGUCACAAUUCAAUUAAAAGAGCAUGGUUCUCUCCUUCUCUAAAUCCAAGCAUGUUGUUAAGAGAAAAAUUCAGAGUUUCUGACUCCUAUCAGAAGAACCACCUGGUGUGGGACAGAAGAAAACCAAAAAUCUGGGACUAUUGUCAAAACUGUUAUCUCUGCAAUAUUGUGUUUUUCCCGUACUUAUUUUUGACUGUUUGGUACCUUUCUUUGAAUAAAUAUCUGUCUUAAAAUUAAACUUUCAAUUUUUAUAUUAAUAAUGUUUAAUUGUGACACAGUGAACA
rnacentral:lncRNA from 1 species